rnacentral:rRNA from 1 species
CGAAGUGAGUGGCGAACGGGUGAGUAACACGUGGGUAACCUGCCCAGAAGUAGGGGAUAACACCUGGAAACAGAUGCUAAUACCGUAUAACAGAGAAAACCGCAUGGUUUUCUUUUAAAAGAUGGCUCUGCUAUCACUUCUGGAUGGACCCGCGGCGUAUUAGCUAGUUGGUGAGGUAAAGGCUCACCAAGGCAGUGAUACGUAGCCGACCUGAGAGGGUAAUCGGCCACAUUGGGACUGAGACACGGCCCAGACUCCUACGGGAGGCAGCAGUAGGGAAUCUUCCACAAUGGACGCAAGUCUGAUGGAGCAACGCCGCGUGAGUGAAGAAGGGUUUCGGCUCGUAAAGCUCUGUUGUUAAAGAAGAACGUGGGUAAGAGUAACUGUUUACCCAGUGACGGUAUUUAACCAGAAAGCCACGGCUAACUACGUGCCAGCAGCCGCGGUAAUACGUAGGUG